GACGAACGCUGGCGGCGUGCCUAACACAUGCAAGUCGAGCGAAUGAAGUUUCUUCGGGAACAGAUUUAGCGGCGGACGGGUGAGUAACACGUGGGCAACCUGCCUCAUAGAGGGGGAAUAGCCUUCCGAAAGGGAGAUUAAUACCGCAUAAGAUUGUAGUACCGCAUGGUACAGCAAUUAAAGGAGCAAUCCGCUAUGAGAUGGGCCCGCGGCGCAUUAGCUAGUUGGUGAGGUAACGGCUCACCAAGGCGACGAUGCGUAGCCGACCUGAGAGGGUGAUCGGCCACAUUGGGACUGAGACACGGCCCAGACUCCUACGGGAGGCAGCAGUGGGGAAUAUUGCACAAUGGGGGAAACCCUGAUGCAGCAACGCCGCGUGAGUGAUGACGGC
rnacentral:rRNA from 1 species